CAACAGGUAGAUGUCACAACACUGAACCCAAGUGUGAUUUGAGAAUUUUGAGCAUUUUCAACUAAUUCUUGAACUCUGUUGAUAUUUUUUCAAGAUAUGGGCUUGAGACACUUUUCUGAAUCAUUGGGUACCCAAAUGAUUUUUUUAAUCUGGCCUGUAAUGUAUCCCCUUAGAUGCUGAGUACCUUCAAGUUCCACUAAAGACAGGAGCAAGCUUUGAAGCAAGAAUAUACCCAGCAAGAAUAUGCCCAGCAUUCAAACACUUUAAAGACAAGCAUACCUAGAGUCACCUGACUAAAGCAGGGCCCACUGGGAUCAUCCAUCAGCUGCGAUCUACAUAUUCUCAGAAAAUUUCCUAGAGAGGGACCUUUCAUGCAGCCAACUGGAUUGUCUUCCCAGAUGCUUUGCAACACUGAAACUAGGGUUCAUCAGCAUUAACAUCUUCUCUAAACAUGUCAGCCACUGACAUUUUCUGGCAAAAAGGCUACUAGAAAUGCUGAAGCCCAUAACGUGAUCUUUGGAAAUAAGGAAUAAGAAAGCCAUGUAAUGGAGAAAGUGAUGCAACAUUGGCUGAGGAAGCAGUAAAGACCAAAGGAGAUAAGUUCUACUAGGA
rnacentral:lncRNA from 1 species